CCCUUAGAUGUUCUGGGCUGCACGCGUGCUACAAUGGCGUUUCCAGCAAGUCUGCGAACCCGAGAGGGCCAGCGGAUCUUCGAAUUGGCGUCGUGAUCGGGACAGUCGAUUGCAAUUAUUUUACUCAAACGAGGAAUUCCUUGUAAUCGCGAUUCAUCAUAUCGCGCUGAAUACGUCCCUGCCCUUUGUACACACCGCCCGUCGCUCCUACCGAUUGAGCGAUCCGGUAAAUGUUUUGGAUUGGUGCCGGGGCGGCUAGCUGCCGGUCGCUACGAAAUUUUGUGAACCUUAUCGCUUAGAGGAAGGAAAAGUCGUAACA
rnacentral:rRNA from 1 species